rnacentral:lncRNA from 1 species
GUCUACUCCCCAGCCUCUGCCUUCACCAGCAGAGUAGACCUUGGCCCUUUGUCCUAAUAGCCGUGUCUUCAUGGAUUUCUUAGUGGUCAGUGGUUAACUUGAUCCUGCACCCAGGGCACUCACUCGGCUCCUGCUUGUUUCUGGUCCUCUUCGUGUCAAAUGUCCCGGUUUCCAGGACAGCUUCCAGAGUGCUGGACGCGGUGGGGCACUGGCUGUGUGCAGACUCAGGAUACACACUCAGGUGACUCUCCAGAGGGAUCAUGAAGAUCUUGCGUGUCAACUCUGAAGCCCUGCAGCACGUGCCUAGCCAGCUGCAAGACCUUUUCGGAGGAGCCACCAGCAGGCUUCCUGAAGGCCAGGCUGCAGCUCUCAGGCCUGCAGCCAAGCUGAAAACAGUUCUCAUGACUAUGUCUCAUCCCGGAAAGAAGAUCCUUCAUGGCAUGGUCGCUUUCAUCUCAUCAUGAGCUGAGUGUCCAAUACUUACUGAGAUGUGGUCCCCACGUUAAAGAACUUUAGAAAUUGUAAGGCCGCGUGCACCCCUGCCCAUACCUUGAUGUUCCAACCCCCUUGGGUACCAAGAAGGACAGGAAGAUAGAGAAAAUGAUGGUGACGUGGGAGGAGGAAGGAGCCCCUCACCCAGGCUUAAGCUCCUCACCAACUAAGGAUCAAGAACUCCAGCACCAUUAGCAACAUUUGCUUAAGGUCAUUCCCCCUUCCCAGCUAGAAGCCUACAAUUUUCUAGGACUCUAACCAGAAGCCUCAUUUACAGUAAAAGACACAUUCUAAAUCCCUUGUGCAACUCCAGUGGCUUCUGGUUUUUACCUUAUCAGAUUAUAAUCCCACCCUAUAAUCCAUUUACCAAAAAGAAAAAAGAAAAAAGAAAAAAAAAGGCUUCUUAGCAACCUUUGAGAUGUACUGAGAACCGCCGAAAGCGUCUGCACAGCAAAUGCUGGCGCUUGACUUGACCCUUUCUUAAGCCCACACCACACUCUUUAGUGUGCCUUAUUCUUUCCUUAAAUAAAACCUUCCUCUUUGUUUUUAAUAAACCCAA